AAAACAAGCCGUUCUAUCGCUCUCUGUUCGUGACAGGGGGAGGAAAGUCCGGACAACAUAGAGCGCCACACUUCCUAACGGGAAGGUCUUUGGUAAGUAAUUGCCGGGGAACAGAUAGUGCCACAGAAAACUAUACCGCCCACUGGCUAAACUCAAGGAAUCGCAUCAUUUAGCAAACCAAUAAAAUUGGAACUUGUUUGAAUGGCUUUCUGGAGUUUGGCUAAGGGUAAGGGUGAAAAUGUGAGGUAAGAGCUCACAAUAAGUGCUGGCGACAGUCUUAUGGGUAAACCUUGUGGGUUGAAAGGCCAUGUAUACGGAUUUAUAAAUCUUCGUGAUUUAUGAAAGAGCUGCUCGCUCCAUUCCGCGGGUAGGCCGCUCGAGGCAAUCAGUGAUGGUUGUCCCAGAUAAAUGAUAGAAUCCCGACGUAAGUCGGGAACAGAAUCCGGCUUACAGGCUUGUUUUUAUU
rnacentral:RNase_P_RNA from 1 species